rnacentral:rRNA from 1 species
UACGAAGGGGGCUAGCGUUGCUCGGAUUGACUGGGCGUAAAGAGCGCGUAGGCGGUUCGUACAGUCAGACGUGAAAUUCCUGGGCUCAACCUGGGGGCUGCGUUUGAUACGUGCGGACUUGAGUGCGGAAGAGGGUCGUGGAAUUCCCAGUGUAGAGGUGAAAUUCGUAGAUAUUGGGAAGAACACCGGUGGCGAAGGCGGCGACCUGGUCCGAUACUGACGCUGAGGCGCGAAAGCGUGGGGAGCAAACAGG